rnacentral:rRNA from 1 species
CCUACGGGAGGCAGCAGUGGGGAAUCUUGCGCAAUGGGCGGAAGCCUGACGCAGCAACGCCGCGUGUGGGAAGACGGCUUUCGGGUUGUAAACCACUUUCAGGGGGGACGAAGCUUCCGAGGUUAAUAGCCUACGGGGUGACGGUACCCCCAGAAGAAGCCCCGGCUAACUACGUGCCAGCAGCCGCGGUAAUACGUAGGGGGCGAGCGUUGUCCGGAAUCAUUGGGCGUAAAGCGCGUGUAGGCGGCUUGAUAAGUCUGGUGUGAAAUCUUGGGGCUUAACCCCAAGCCUGCACUGGAUACUGUCAAGCUUGAGUCCGGGAGGGGAGAGCGGAAUUCCUAGUGUAGCGGUGAAAUGCGCAGAUAUUAGGAAGAACACCGGUGGCGAAGGCGGCUCUCUGGAACGGUACUGACGCUGAGACGCGAAAGCGUGGGGAGCGAACAGGAUUAGAUACCCUGGUAGUCCACGCCGUAAACGAUGGGCACUAGAUGUGGGGCGGUGUCGACGUCCGUCCGUCGUCGAGACUACGCAUAGUAGCCCGCCGUCGGGAGGUACGGCCGCGACGGACGUAAACGUACGAAAUAAGUAAGUUAGUUACGGCGUGAGACGUGCCGACGGCGACGACGAGGGAGGAGG